rnacentral:lncRNA from 1 species
CUGCCCUGGGGUCCUACAUCCUUCGACCUCCACCAUCUUCGUCACUACCACUGGCUCCAUCUCAUUCACAGAUCUUCCAUCUCCACUUUGCCACUCAGGUCCACUCAAGUGUCACUUGCUCCGUCUUGAUCUCCAGCAUUACUGGCUUUGAUCCAACGUGGAUCUCCAACCGUCUAGUUCCAUCUAGACAUCCUUCUCUGCCAUUCUUACUCAACAAAAAUAUCUUCACAGAGACUUAAUGUAAGCAUAUUUGCUCUAUAUAAAUGCUGUUUUUGCAUAUGUGUUUGAUAUGUAUAUUAUUUGUUAAUCUGCUUAAACAUUGCAUAAAAUUACAAUAAACAACUAUACUUUUUUUACUGUUUUGUAGGAGUACGAGCACAAUAUGCAUCAUCUAUUGUUUUCUAAUUCAAAACAAGUAUGCCUACAUCUUAUUUCCUCUAGCUCUGCGAUCUUCAUCAUUCCCACCGACUCCACCUCAGUCUGCCGAUCUUCUGUCUUCACCUUGGCCCUCCAGUCCAGUGGCAUUAUACCGACUCCACCUCAGUCUGCCGAUCUUCUGUCUUCACCUGGCCCUCCAGUCCAGUGGCAUUAUACUGGUUCUCCAGCAGUUUGGCACCAUCUUGGUCUCCAGCUUUCCUGAUUUCACCUUGGUCUUCCAUCUACUCAACUCUGUCCUGGUUUGCCUCAUCCAUGGCUCCACAGUCUCUCUAUCUUUGUGGCUCCAUCAAAGCAUCCCUCCCUCCCAGUUUUGCUAAACAAGACAUCUUUACAGAUACAUGAUCUCCACCAUCUUCAACACUCCCACUGGCUCUUCCUCGGUCUGCAGAUCUUCUACAUCCACCUAGGCCCUCAAGCCCUGCUGUAUUACCCUGGUUGUCCAGUCAUCUGGUUACAUCCAUCUUGGUAUCAAGCCAUCCUGACUCUGCCUUGGCCUUCUGUCUGGUCUGCACAGCCUGAGGAUCGACAAUGGGUCUCCAUUGCUCCGGUUCCAUCAAGGCAUUGUACUCAAUCCCUGCAGCUCCACCAUCUCAACACUCCACUGGCUCUUCCUCGGUCUGCAGAUCUUCUACAUCCACCUAGGCCCUCAAGCCCUGCUGUAUUACCCUGGUUGUCCAGUCCUCUGGUUACAUCCAUCUUGGUAUCAAGCCAUCCUGACUCUGCCUUGGCCUUCUGUCUGGUCUGCACAGCCUGAGGAUCGACAAUGGGUCUCCAUUGCUCCGAUUCCAUCAAGGCAUUCCACUAUGCCAUUUCUGCCAUGACACCCUCCAUUACUUUUACAGUGGUUUCUUCUUCCACUGCACACCCUUGACCUCUUCCUUCACUAUUUGUGCAGUAGUCUCUUCCUCUGCCAGCUCCACUGUAGUCUCUUACCCUCACCAUCACACUGGCUGUUUAAGAGUCAAAAGCUGCCUUUUGGAAAGGCAGGUACUUUCAAGUUCUGUUUCUGCUCUAGGAGUUUAUAUUUAUAUUUAGUUCCUGUUUUCUGAGGUGCCAAUAUACAUUUUCACUUUGUUCUGAUUUGUUUAAUCAGUUGCAUAUUGUGUUAACCUAUGUUUAUUGAAUUUAUUGUUAUUUUUAUGUAUGUAUUUUAUAUUUCCUAAAUCUUUCCUGAGCUAUUUUUUGUUUGUUUUUUGUUUGUAUUUUCUGUGCUUUGAAUAAUCUUAUGAAUUGGAUUAAUAAAAGGACUGUUUACCAAGCCUCUGUUUUCCUUGCUGGCCUGGAUGGAACAAUAUCCUUGAGAAAAGCAAAUGAGAUGGUCCAGAUUCACAUGUUUUGUAUCUGAAACUACAUAUCAUUACAUCAUUUCACUUUAAAACAUAAAAUGCCAGUCUACUUACAAUGUGCAUUUUAAAACAUGCAUUUAUUCAUUUAUUUAGUUUUAGAGACACAUUGUUCUUAAUAUCAAAUUAAUUGUUGCCUUAUAUAUAAAUUAUAAAACACAAAAUACAAUAUAUUUGGUUUAGUACUGACUGAAUGAUUAAGACUACUGUUACUUGUCUG